CCACAUUCAGUUUUUGAGAUGUUGUAUUUGUGUUUUUUUUCCAUGCUGCAUUAGAUGGAUUCCCAUGUUGCCACAACAAAAUACAGAUGAUUCCAUAGAAGAUCUUGCCACAACAAAAUUGAUAUGUAGCGUUGCAUGAAUGUUUGGUGUUGUAACUGAUGAUUUCUCAUGUUGAUUAUAAAUGGUGCGUCUUCUCUUAUUCUGAUGUUGCAGUAACUGACUG
rnacentral:lncRNA from 1 species